rnacentral:tRNA from 1 species
GCAUUGAUGAUUCAGUCAUAGAAUUCUGACCUUUCAUGUGGGAGACCUGGGUUCAACUCCCAGCCAAUGAC